rnacentral:lncRNA from 8 species
UACCUCAAACAGAAAGGCAUGUAGUGGUUGUGACAGGAAUGCAAAGUAGAGAGGCCCAGGUCCCUGAGUGCUACCUGUAACCUGGCUGUGAUAUGUCCGGUUAAUCAUCAACCCAGGGGAUGUGGCUCAAUGCAAAUGCACAAUGUCCGGGACAUGGAGUGCUCUGGUCAACUUCCCGGGACAUGGAGUGCUCUGGUCAACUUCAGCAGUAGCUACAUAGAUCUGCAGCUGGUCUCAAUAAGGAUGACAUUGUCCAACAAUCAGACCUGGAGGUAACGCAAGGACAUCAGUCCCCCCUUCU